GGGCCCGCACAAGCGGCGGAGCAUGCGGAUUAAUUCGAUGCAACGCGAAGAACCUUACCAAGGCUUGACAUAUAGAGGAAAAGUGCAGAAAUGCACUCCCCGCAAGGUCUCUAUACAGGUGGUGCAUGGUUGUCGUCAGCUCGUGUCGUGAGAUGUUGGGUUAAGUCCCGCAACGAGCGCAACCCUCGUCCUAUGUUGCCAGCACGUAAUGGUGGGAACUCAUGGGAUACUGCCGGGGUCAACUCGGAGGAAGGUGGGGAUGACGUCAAAUCAUCAUGCCCCUUAUGUCUUGGGCUUCACGCAUGCUACAAUGGCCGGUACAGAGGGCUGCAAUACCGCAAGGUGGAGCGAAUCCUCAAAACCGGGCCCAGUUCGGAUUGGAGUCUGCAACUCGACUCCAUG
rnacentral:rRNA from 1 species